AAACUUGAGCUAAUACCGGAUACGCCCUUACGGGGAAAGAUUUAUUGCCGAAGGAACGGCCCGCGUCGGAUUAGCUAGUUGGUGAGGUAAUGGCUCACCAAGGCGACGAUCCGUAGCUGGUCUGAGAGGAUGACCAGCCUCACUGGGACUGAGACACUGGCCCAGACUCCUACGGGAGGCAGCAGUGGGGAAUAUUGGACAAUGGGCKCAAGCCUGAUCCAGCCAUGCCGCGUGGGUGAUGAAGGCCCUAGGGUUGUAAAGCCCUUUCGGCGGGGAAGAUAAUGACGGUACCCGCAGAAGAAGCCCCGGCUAACUUC
rnacentral:rRNA from 1 species